rnacentral:misc_RNA from 1 species
AACACUGUUAACCUGCGGUACCUGCGGAGGGAUCAUUACAGAGUUCGUGCCCUCGCGGGUAGAUCUCCCACCCUUGUGUAUUUUCUACAUCUUGUUGCUUUGGCAGGCCGUUGGUUCGCCAACCACCGGCUCGCGGGCUGGUGCGUGCCUGCCAGAGGACCUCUCAAACUCGGUUUGUUAGUGUCGUCUGAGUACCAUAACAAUCGUUAAAACUUUUAACAAUGGAUCUCAGAUCGGAAG